GUGUGUGUAUUUUGCGGCAAGUCCAAAACUGGUUGCUUUCCCACAAAGACUUUUGAGAGACUAGUGAAAGAAAGUCCACAUCUUAUUCCGGGGAUAUUUUUGGUAUCUCAGUAGAAUAUAAUAAUGGUGUACUCAAUAUAGAAAUGACUGUCAAUUAAGAAGUCUUCGGUUCGCUUUGCAAAACAUCAGAGGCGUUUCAGAUCUUCCGAGCUAAAACCAUGUGAAGAUUCUAACCAAAAAUGGGUUUGGUUGCUCUUUGUUUAAACCCUUCAGGCAAAUAGGUGCUCAGGCCUUCCUGUUUUGCUUGGACAACAUGUAUCAUGCUUUCUUAGCUUCCUCACACGUUUGAAGAACAGCAGGCAGUGGUGCAGUGAUUUUAACAAUCUACACAAGUCAACAGAAUCUGUAAGCAUUCUGGAUAGCACUUCUAUUCAAUAUAUCACAUCAUUCCACAUUCCUCUGCAAGUCUUUUCAAGAAAAAGUUACUAAAGUUCAUAGGUUCUGAUUUUUAUAGCAGACACUAUUUGUUGUCCUUUAACCUAAUAGGGAACUUUUUGAAGGUACAAAUUUGGAUUCUUACCUUUUUAAGGCAGGAUAAAAAAGAUUUCAUCACAAAAAAUUCGAAGCAGGAGGAUGAUAAUUCAAACGCAACACAACAAAUUAUAUUAUCUUAGGGACAAAAUUCUAAAAACCCUUUGUUUUCACUUGUAACAAUAUGUACCAUGUACUAUAGUAUCAACUCUAUAAUUUCUUAGGGAUAAUAUUCAAAUAAUGUAGUUUUUUUUUUUUGGGAUUUUGAAUGAAAUUUGCAUAGCGGUCUCUAGGACAUUGACAUUUUGGUCCUAUAUGAACUGCUAUUCUUUCAUUGGUGGGGCCUAAUUCCAAAGCAUCUUGUUAAUCACAGCAAUCAAAUGUUUUGCAGGAAAGAAACACAUUUAACGAGAAAAGAAAGAAGCUGAAGCAAUUA
rnacentral:lncRNA from 1 species